UUCCGGUUGAUCCUGCCGGAGGCCACUGCUAUUGGGAUCCGACUAAGCCAUGCGAGUCGAGAGGGUUCGGCCCUCGGCAGACUGCUCAGUAACACGUGGAUAACCUAACCUUAGGUGGAAGAUAACCUCGGGAAACUGAGAAUAAUAUUCCAUAGAUCUAGGAUGCUGGAAUGCAUCUAGAUUGAAAGUUCCGACGCCUAAGGAUGGGUCUGCGGACUAUCAGGUUGUAGUCAGGGUAAAGACCUGACUAGCCUACGACGGAUAUGGGUUGUGAGAGCAAUAGCCCAGAGACGAUAUCUGAGACACGAUAUCGGGCCCUACGGGGCGCAGCAGGCGCGAAAUCUUCACAAUGUGCGAAAGCACGAUGAGGGGAUCCCAAGUGCUGGCACGUAAGUGUCAGCUGUUUCUUAGUCUAAAAAACUGAGAGAGUAAGGGCUGGGUAAGACGGGUGCCAGCCGCCGCGGUAAUACCUGCAGCUCAAGUGGUGGUCGCUAUUAUUGGGCCUAAAACGUCCGUAGCCUGUUUAGUAAAUGCUUGGGUAAAUUGUGUAGCUUAACUAUACGAAUACCGGGUAGACUGCUAAACUUGGGACCGGGAGAGGCUAGAGGUACUCCUGGGGUAGAGGUGAAAUUCUGUAAUCCUAGGGGGACCACCAGUGGCGAAGGCGUCUAGCUAGAACGGGUCUGACGGUGAGGGACGAAGCCCUGGGGCGCGAACCGGAUUAGAUACCCGGGUAGUCCAGGGUGUAAACGCUGCUUGCUUGAUGUUAGUUGGGCUCCGAGCCCAACUAGUGUCGGAGAGAAGUUGUUAAGCAAGCUGCCUGGGAAGUACGGUCGCAAGACUGAAACUUAAAGGAAUUGGCGGGGGAGCACAGCAACGGGUGGAGCGUGCGGUUUAAUUGGAAUCAACGCCGGU
rnacentral:rRNA from 1 species